UUUAACUCCACAUUUCAUUAAAUAGUAGUAGUAUAUGAAAUUAGAAUGACAUAUAUGUCUAACCAAAAGACAUAUAUUUACAAUACUUUACAUGAAUAAAUAGGAAUACCUCUAAAUAACCUAAAGAAUUCCCCUUCCUUCAAAACAAACAUUAGUAAAGAACUCCAAUCUCUAUCUAAUUGGUUUGUAACAAAUGAUUGGAGCUUUUUUCUGCAAUCUAUAGUUGCUGAAUUUUUGUUGGGUAGAUGCACUAACAAAAGGAGUAGAAGAGAUGUCGAUCUGCUAUCCUUCAACCCCUGGUAAGAUGGCAAUGACAGUGGGGUGUUUUCUUGGUGGUAUUACUUUAUUUGUUGUUGGGGUUCAUUAUUCCUACAAGAACAUUGCUCCUCAACAGGCUAGAAUUAAAGCAAGGAAUGAUUUUGUGAAGGAGUAUCUUAGGAAGAAACAUGGUUUCGGUGAGAAGAAGAAAUGAGGCAAAUAUGUCUUUAGCUUGAUUUUUAGUGCCUUUUCAAUAUUGUUACACAAGCAUUAGUUGAUGAAUGAUAGUAGCUUUCAACAAUAGAUGACAAGAAUCAAUGAGAGAGCUUUCCGUUUGUGAACUUGUUGAUUGAUUGUUUAGUGGAGGUAUUACUUUUUGUGUAUAAUAGUUGUUCGCUAGAGCUAUUGGCUAAAAUUAUUGGUCAGUUGGCUAACUGGAUGUAUUGGCUGAUAAGCCAACUAUUUAAGUCAGUUGUUAUAGUCUUGUUUGAUUGGUGGAGUGAAUUAUUGGGGGCCCAGCAUUUCGACCACAGUUUUUGAUCUAAAAUGUGCCAGUUCAACUCUCUUGGCUGCACUUAACAAUGAAGCAACACCUGUAUUGACAUGGUUCUCUAUAUUGGAUAGUCUUAUGGGUGUUAUAGAGUUAAUAGAGAGGCUGGAAGUGAAAAUGCUUUAUCUUGCCCUUCUUAAUCUGAGCUUUGGUGUGCUGAAGAACUAGAUUUUCGGUAGUGCAUGCAAAAUUUCUGCUCUUUUUCAAUGGUUUGUAUAUUCUGUUGAUAGAAUGAACUACUUGCAAAAGUCUGACAAGAUGCUUCACUGUGGAUUGUGCAUAGUUUUGCUUCUGAUCUACCAUUAUUUUUGAAGUCAAGGAUGAAGAAAGCAUAAGGUAAUGCCUUUUAUGCUGUACUAGAAAAAAGUAUAAAUUAAAUCUUAUGUAUUUCUUUUGACUUGAGCAAUUCUCUCGUAUAUCUCAUUAUCCCAAUGUUAUUAAGUAACUCCUAUCUAUGCAAAAUUUGGUAUUAGAUAUAUGCAACCUCGCGCUUGUAAUAACUAAGCGGCUGGAUUGACUGUUUAUUGCAAACAUCAUGUACAGCUAGAAUUGAUUUGAUGAGUCAUUUUAC